rnacentral:tRNA from 1 species
AAGGUUUUAGCUUAAUUAAAGUACUUGAUUUGCAUUCAGGUGAUGUUGGAUAAAGUCCUGCAGGUCUUA